rnacentral:pre_miRNA from 1 species
CUUGACUUUGUGUCUGUCCCCAGGGUGCUGCGGGCAAAGCUGGGGACCCAGGGAGAGACGUAAGUGAGG